GUUGCUUUGCCCUGCUCCCCACGUGUUUUGUGAAAUUACAAAAUAUACAUAUAAAAAUGAGUACUACAUUCUUUGACAAUUAUAUGGCAGCUGAAGAAGAAGGGGCAUUGAGGAAUGAAGGAUACCUCCAAAUUUUUAUAUUAUUAGGUACUGUCAUUUUUGUACUCCUCAAUACUAUAUUUAGAGAUGAAAAAAUAAAAAAUAUUGAGGAUAAAAUAAAAAAUAUUGAGGAUAAAAUAAAACAAAAUGAGGAUAAAAUAAAACAAAAUGAGGAUAAAAUAAAACAAAAUGAGGAUAAAAUAAAACAAAAUGAGGAUAAAAUAGAAAAAAUUGAGGAUACAAUAGAAAAAAUUGAGGAUACAAUAGAAAAAAUUGAGGAUAAAAUAGGAAAUAUUGAGAAUAAAAUAGGAAAUAUUGAGGAUAAAAUGGGAGAUAUGGAAGAUAAAAUAGGAAAAAUUGAGGAUAAAAUGCAAGCCCAAUUAGAAGAUCUAAAAUGUUUCUUACAGGAUCAAUGGGCAAACACCCACUCUACCAGAAACAGACCUGUUUCUGAACCUUUGAAUGAGGAAAUUUCCUUCCCUGAAAUAGAGAUGGAAAACACCUUCCCUAUAGCCCAGUUAACAGACUGCUUCUCUCGUGUAGUGCAAAUCUUGUCUGAAUUUAAUCCCCAAAACCCUUCCCCUGCAAUCCCAGCUUCUCAUGUUCCUUCUCCUACAGAAAACCAAAUUCCAAUGCAAGGGAGAUCUUGUCCUCCUAGAGAAACCUGUCCUUGUCAAACUGACCCACAGGUGCAAAAUUCAACUAGAGGCCUGUUUCCUCUAAGAGAAGUACCUGAAAUAGGACGAAAUGGGGAUGUGGUGACUUUAAGACAUAGGAUACCGUUUACUCCCCAAGAAAUAAAUGAAUUUACACGAAAUAUCCCCACAUAUGAACAAGAUCCUUUUCUAGUAACAAAAAAGAUGGGAGACAUAUUUUUUCAAUAUAAUCCGUCUUACAAGGACGUUGAGAGCUUACUACAGGCUUUUUUAAGUGAACGUGAAAAAAACAAAAUAAUUGCUCAUGUCAACAAAACCCGGGGGCGUAAUGCAGCACAUUGGCCAUCUCAGGAUCCCGAAUGGGACUAUAAUAAUCCUGAGGACUAUCUACAACUAUACCGUUGUAGAGAGGCCAUCCUCACAGCCAUGAAGGAAUGUGCGGACAGUACAGAUAAGUGGAUGGAACUGGAAAAAAUUAAGCAAAAGGAAAACGAAACACCCUCCAGAUUUAUGGACAGAAUUAUCGAGUUUGGGGACAGAUACUUAGAUUGGGACUUAAAUAAAGAGAAUAGUUUAAGACAAGUUAGAAGAAUAUUUGUAAAUAAUUCUUGCAAAGUAAUUAAAAAUUAUUUUAAAACACAAUGCCCAAGAUGGUCAGAUAUGGACCUUGAAGAAUUGCGAAAAACAGCUAUAUAUGUUUUUAAGGGAAACGAAGAAAAGGAGAAAGAGAAUAAUGAUGACAUGGAGGAAAUGAAGAAAAAAAUGAGAUGUGUAAUAGAUAGGAUAACUAAAUUAGAAAGUGGGCAUGAUAAUGAACCAACGACAAUUGCCCCUCUCCAGAAAUCCAAUUAUCAAUCCAUUACUUGCCACUUCUGUGAGAAGAAGGGCCACAAAAUGAUGGAAUGUAGAACCUUUCUUAAGAUGUUUGGAAGGAAUACACAGUUUAAUAAUGGUUUUAGAAAUAAUAACUAUAGAAAUUAUGAUAAUGGUUAUAGAAACCAAAAUUCUAGAAAUUAUAAUAAUGACUAUGGAAAUAACUAUAAUGAAUAUAGAAAUAAGAACUUUAGAAACCAGAAUUAUAGAAAUAGGAAUUGGGAAUUUAAUGACAAUGCUCAAAUUGAAGAAAAUUUUAAUGAUAAUACUCAACAAUAUAUGAGAAAUGGCGCUCGUCCAAAAAUUACUCGAGGUACUAAUGACCCUCAGAGAGGUGCCCUUCAGGGGGGUGCCCAAGGAAUAUCCCAAACACAAUGAUGGUGCCCGGGGGGGGCUGGGGCACAGGAAUCAGAGGAUACAACCUUUGAUUUCCCAGACCCUGAUGUCCUACUACCCGUUGUCCCUAUCCACUGCCCUCCCCAUACUAAUGAACCCCAUGUUACCUUAAAAGUGGGUAACACUUAUUAUGAUUGUCUAUUAGACACCGGAGCUUCCUGGUCUGUAUUAAAGAGAACACCUGAUUUACAAUGUUAUUCUAUUGGCUCAGAGAAUGUAAUGGGAGUAUCAGGAAUAACCCAAAGAGUUAAAAGACUUCCUCCUAGAAUGGUGUCUGUAGGACCCCUAGAGGUACAACACUCCUUCCUUUUGAUGCCUGACUCCCCUUUAAAUUUGCUGGGGAGGGACCUUCUAUGCAAACUCAGAGCCACAAUAACCUGCUCCCCAGAUGGCUCAUUAUCAUUAGAAGUACCAGAGGAAUCUUUAAAUUUACUCCCUGUACUUCUCUCGGAAAACCAGGAGGCAAAAGAACCUUCCAUUUUUGAAAUACCUAAAGAUAUACCGGAGUCUCUUUGGGCCACAUCUUCUUCUGACGUAGGCUUACUCAAAUCUGCUGUUCCUGUGCAGAUAAAAACUAAAUCUAGCCCACCUCCUUCUAUUCCUCAGUAUCCCCUCUCAAGGGAGGGCAAUUGAGGGGUA
rnacentral:lncRNA from 1 species